GCCAGGUGUGGUGGUGGGCACCUGUAAUCCCAGCUACUCGGGAGGCUGAGGCAGGAGAAUUGCUUGAACCCAGGAGGCAGAGGUUGCAGUGAGCCAAGAUCAUGCCACUGCACUCCGGCCUGGGUGACAGAGCAAGACUCUGUCUUGA
rnacentral:SRP_RNA from 1 species